CUUGACACGUUUUCCUUUUUGGGCCGUCCCACGAAUCUUGACACGUUUCAUUUUUUGGCAAAUAAUUAUUACAUUCUCUCUCCUACUUUAUCACCUUUAUUAUACUCUCUCUCCUACUUUAUCACUUUUAUUACCUUCUCUCUCCUACUUUAUCAAUUUUAUACUUUAUUAAUUACACACUUAAAACACUAAUCUACAACUCCUUAAUUCCCGUGCCGAACCCAAACGU
rnacentral:lncRNA from 1 species